GGAUCGGUCUAUUCUGUUGGUACGUCAAAACAGCAAGGUAUUAACUUACUGCCCUUCCUCCCAACUUAAAGUGCUUUACAAUCCGAAGACCUUCUUCACACACGCGGCAUGGCUGGAUCAGGCUUUCGCCCAUUGUCCAAUAUUCCCCACUGCUGCCUCCCGUAGGAGUCCCCCCGUGCCCCCGCCCCGCCCGCCGCGCGCGGCGGGGGAGGGGG
rnacentral:rRNA from 1 species